rnacentral:lncRNA from 1 species
CGAAGGGUAGGAAAAUGGAAACACUGAAGCUGGGCACAAAGAACGUUUUCAUUUUCAGACAUAGCCGUACCAAAGAUAGGGUCAGGGGGUAAAAAUACUUCCGAAGAGCCUUUGUAAGCUACUUCCCAGUGACCUUCUAGAGAGUGAUUUCGGUUGGUGAUUACAUAUUGGUAUCCAACCCAGAACCUACGUUGGUCCUUCCUGACAAAUGUCUUUUCUUCCAAGUCCCACUCCUGUGCCAGGAUAAACCUCAGCUCCUGGUCUGCAGUGAAGGUGGCGAGGGAUCCGUUCACCCGCUGACAUGUCUGCACGGCGUCCCAGUAGUUCUCCCCAUUUAAAUAGACUCUGUAACAGCUGGCUGUGCCCUCGUAGUGAUGCCACCCUGUUGGGCACUUUCCUAUCUUAAUAAGCUUCUCCUCUUCUU